rnacentral:lncRNA from 1 species
AUUAUUGCGAUAAGGAAACUCUCGUGUCACGACCCACUGGCGUCUGGCUAAUCCGAUGGUAUUCGUCGCCGCAUUGUCCGUGAUCAAUAACUAAUUAUCAAAGUGGCAUUUCUUUUCAAGAGCUCCUUGUUAAAAAAUGGCUUUUGGCUGAGACUAGAGGAAAAAGGUCGCCACUUUGACAUCGUUGCAAGUCUUUCAAAAUCCAGUGGGCCGUCCAAUUGAAUUACUGUCCCAAACUAAUUGAUAUAAAUUUGAACAGAAGAAUGCUUGUUACUACAGAAUGUCAUAAUGAUAUCCUUGGCAAGAGCAUGUCAGUGGGAAAAAAGAGAAAAGACCAGUGCUAGUCACAAAGCAUCUAGACAAGUUGCAGCAGAAGACUGUUAAUAAAACUAACAGGAAAAAAAUUGUACACCAGUUCCUUCUCCUCAGUAAGUUUGGUCAGACAUUCCAGAAGGAAAAGCAUUAACAUUUGGUUUUGAACCGCGUGCAUUUGAAAUCAGACUUCAGAAAACCUGCUGGAAAAAAAAAUAAAAAUUGCAGUAUACCAAGGACUGAAAACCUGAUAUCAGCUGCAGAAGUCUCAUUGACUCUACUGGGAUCACGAGUGAGUAUCUGCUGAAAUUUAGCUUUAGUUGUAAGGCAGAAUUUAGCAGACAGUUUCCUUAAGAGAGGUUACUAAGCAGCCUUAAAUAUGACCUUCUCUGAAGCAAAUUGGAUUGUAUGUAAAUAAGUCACAUGACUUUGAACUAGACAAAGAACACAUGCACUUAAGAUAAAGGAAGUGCAGUCAUAAAACUGUUGUGAAAAAAAUUGGUGAGAAAAAGAUUUCAUUCUAUUUAUGCCUGAGAUUUGAUGUAUGCCUUGGAGAUUGCUGCAGAAAUCUUGGAAACUUUCUGACUUUUCAUUGCAUGGCAACUGGGCUUGUGGAGUUUCUGGUUUUGUUUUUGUUUUCUAGACCUGACUACCUUCCUCUCUAUGUCAUACACUCUGUCCCUGAGCUGGGAAUUGCAAAGGAGGAGCACAGGCAAAGGUCACGCCACAAAGGGUUGUACACAUGUGGACUGAUGCCAGUGGAACCAGUGGAAUGUCUCUGCAUACACAUGCACUGUGUAACAUUCAGGAACAACUCUGAAAACAAUCUGUCUACAAGCCUAAUCCUUUCAAGCCCUUGGUCGCCUUGGAUGGAAUCCUGCCCCGUAGUGUCAAGGCAGCAUACACCUGUGUAUGAACCCAGAAAACUUGUUGCUGUUGAAUGCUUUUUAAAGUAGGGAUUGACCAGAUAAUAGCCAGAACUACAGCACUGGCCAUGAAAGUGAAUCUUUUAAUUGCAGGGAACAAAAGGUGACUCCGUUUCUUUCUAGAUUUGUGUAUACUGUUGGGCUCAUCUUUCCUUUGGUACUUACUUUAUCUGUACAGUGUUACAUUUAGAAGCAAUGAAGCCAUGAAAUGGGUAUUAGCUGCAGCACCAGAAGCUCAAUAGCUCUUUUUUAGCAUAUAUCCACUAAGG